AGAGUUUGAUCCUGGCUCAGGAUGAACGCCGGCUGUGUGCCUAAUACAUGCAAGUCGUACGCACUGGCCCAACUGAUUGAUGGUGCUUGCACCUGAUUGACGUUGGAUCACCAGUGAGUGGCGGACGGGUGAGUAACACGUAGGUAACCUGCCCCGGAGCGGGGGAUAACAUUUGGAAACAGAUGCUAAUACCGCAUAACAACAAAAGCCACAUGGCUUUUGUUUGAAAGAUGGCUUUGGCUAUCACUCUGGGAUGGACCUGCGGUGCAUUAGCUAGUUGGUAAGGUAACGGCUUACCAAGGCGAUGAUGCAUAGCCGAGUUGAGAGACUGAUCGGCCACAAUGGAACUGAGACACGGUCCAUACUCCUACGGGAGGCAGCAGUAGGGAAUCUUCCACAAUGGGCGCAAGCCUGAUGGAGCAACACCGCGUGAGUGAAGAAGGGUUUCGGCUCGUAAAGCUCUGUUGUUGGAGAAGAACGUGCGUGAGAGUAACUGUUCACGCAGUGACGGUAUCCAACCAGAAAGUCACGGCUAACUACGUGCCAGCAGCCGCGGUAAUACGUAGGUGGCAAGCGUUAUCCGGAUUUAUUGGGCGUAAAGCGAGCGCAGGCGGUUGCUUAGGUCUGAUGUGAAAGCCUUCGGCUUAACCGUAGAAGUGCAUCGGAAACCGGGCGACUUGAGUGCAGAAGAGGACAGUGGAACUCCAUGUGUAGCGGUGGAAUGCGUAGAUAUAUGGAAGAACACCAGUGGCGAAGGCGGCUGUCUGGUCUGCAACUGACGCUGAGGCUCGAAAGCAUGGGUAGCGAACAGGAUUAGAUACCCUGGUAGUCCAUGCCGUAAACGAUGAGUGCUAGGUGUUGGAGGGUUUCCGCCCUUCAGUGCCGGAGCUAACGCAUUAAGCACUCCGCCUGGGGAGUACGACCGCAAGGUUGAAACUCAAAGGAAUUGACGGGGGCCCGCACAAGCGGUGGAGCAUGUGGUUUAAUUCGAAGCUACGCGAAGAACCUUACCAGGUCUUGACAUCUUGCGCUAACCUUAGAGAUAAGGCGUUCCCUUCGGGGACGCAAUGACAGGUGGUGCAUGGUCGUCGUCAGCUCGUGUCGUGAGAUGUUGGGUUAAGUCCCGCAACGAGCGCAACCCUUGUUACUAGUUGCCAGCAUUAAGUUGGGCACUCUAGUGAGACUGCCGGUGACAAACCGGAGGAAGGUGGGGACGACGUCAGAUCAUCAUGCCCCUUAUGACCUGGGCUACACACGUGCUACAAUGGACGGUACAACGAGUCGCAAGCUCGCGAGAGUAAGCUAAUCUCUUAAAGCCGUUCUCAGUUCGGACUGUAGGCUGCAACUCGCCUACACGAAGUCGGAAUCGCUAGUAAUCGCGGAUCAGCAUGCCGCGGUGAAUACGUUCCCGGGCCUUGUACACACCGCCCGUCA
rnacentral:rRNA from 1 species